GACGAACGCUGGCGACGUGCUUAACACAUGCAAGUCGAACGGAAAGGCCCUGCUUGCAGGGUACUCGAGUGGCGAACGGGUGAGUAACACGUGGGUGAUCUGCCCUGCACUUCGGGAUAAGCUUGGGAAACUGGGUCUAAUACCGGAUAGGAACCAUCUUUAGUGUGGUGGUUGGAAAGUUUUUUCGGUGUAGGAUGAGCUCGCGGCCUAUCAGCUUGUUGGUGGGGUAAUGGCCUACCAAGGCGGAGACGGGUAGCCGGCCUGAGAGGGUGUACGGCCACAUUGGGACUGAGAUACGGCCCAGACUCCUACGGGAGGCAGCAGUGGGGAAUAUUGCACAAUGGGCGCAAGCCUGAUGCAGCGACGCCGCGUGGGGGAUGAAGGCCUUCGGGUUGUAAACUCCUUUCGCUAGGGACGAAGCUUUGUUGUGACGGUACCUAGAUAAGAAGCACCGGCUAACUACGUG
rnacentral:rRNA from 1 species